UAUGUACUCCCUCCGUCCGGAAAUACUUGUCCUGGGAAUGGAUGUAUCUUGAUGUAUUUCAGUUCUAGAUGCAUCUAUUUGUAUUUAUUUCUUCGACAAGUAUUUUCGGACGAAUGUAUCUA
rnacentral:pre_miRNA from 1 species